rnacentral:lncRNA from 1 species
GGUUUAUAUAAGUCUGCUACACCAUUUGAUGCCUUUUCAGAUUCAUCACUCGACAACUUCCUGUUUACCGAACACUUGUAUUAUUUUACACAUGAUAACCAAGUUGAAAAUUUUCGUCACAUUUUUCUCAGGAACUACAAUACAAGGAUUUCUGAAAUUUUGUUUCAAGGUUUAUAUAAGUAUGCUAUACCGUGUGAUUCGUUUUCAAUUACAUCACUCAACAACUUCCUGUUUACCGAACACUUGUACUAUUUUACACAUGAUAACCAAGUUGAAAAUUUCCGUCACAUUUUUCUCAGGAACUACAAUACAAAAAUUUCUGAAAUUUGGUUUCAGGAUUUAUACAAGUCAGCUAUACUGUGUGAUGCGUUUUCAGAUUCAUCACUCAACAACUUCCUGUUUACCAAACACUUGUAUUAUUUUACACAUGAUAACCAAGUUGAAAAUUUUCGUCACAUUUUUCUCAGGAACUACAAUACAAGGAUUUCUGAAAUUUUGUUUCAAGGUUUAUAUAAGUAUGCAAUACCGUGUGAUGCGUUUUCAGAUUCAUCACUCAACAACUUCCUGUUUACCGAAC